rnacentral:rRNA from 1 species
AUUUGUAGAGGAUGUUUCGAAUGCGGUCCAGUUUAAGUUCCUUGGAACAGGACGUCAUAGAGGGUGAGAAUCCCGUAUGUGACUGGGUGCCAAUUUCAUGUGAAACUCCUUCGAC